UUCCGGUUGAUCCUGCCGGAGGUUACUGCUAUCGGUGUUCGACUAAGCCAUGCGAGUCAUAUGUUCUUCGUGAACAUGGCGGACUGCUCAGUAACACGUGGAUAACCUGCCCUUAGGUUCGGCAUAACUCCGGGAAACUGGAGAUAAUUCCGAAUAGGUCAAAUAUGCUGGAAUGCUUUUUGGCCAAAAGACUUCGGUUGCCUAAGGAUGGAUCUGCGGUCUAUCAGGUAGUAGUGGGUGUAACGUACCUACUAGCCUACGACGGAUAUGGGUUGUGAGAGCAAGAGCCCAGAGAUGGAUUCUGAGACAUGAAUCCAGGCCCUACGGGGCGCAGCAGGCGCGAAAACUUUACAAUGCGGGGAACCGCGAUAAGGGGACACCGAGUGCCAGCAUUUAUGUUGGCUGUCCACAUGUGUAAACGGCAUGUGUUAGCAAGGGCCGGGCAAGACCGGUGCCAGCCGCCGCGGUAACACCGGCGGCCCGAGUGGUAAUCACUUUUAUUGGGUCUAAAGGGUCCGUAGCCGGUUUGAUCAGUUCUUCGGGAAAUCUGACAGCUCAACUGUUAGGCUUCCGGGGAAUACUGUCAGACUUGGGACCGGGAGAGGUAAGAGGUACUACAGGGGUAGGAGUGAAAUCUUGUAAUCCCUGUGGGACCACCAGUGGCGAAGGCGUCUUACCAGAACGGGUCCAACGGUGAGGGACGAAAGCUGGGGGCACGAACCGGAUUAGAUACCCGGGUAGUCCCAGCCGUAAACGAUGUUCGCUAGGUGUCAGGGGCGGUGCGACCGCUUCUGGUGCCGUAGGGAAGCCGUGAAGCGAACCACCUGGGAAGUACGGCCGCAAGGCUGAAACUUAAAGGAAUUGGCGGGGGGAGCACUACAACGGGUGGAGCCUGCGAUUAAUUGGAUUCAACGCCGGAA
rnacentral:rRNA from 1 species